UUUGGGCGUACAACAAAGGAGACGUGUCCUCAACGUGGAGCCCAGGGAAAUGAACCUCACUAACAGCAAGUUUUUACAAACUUGGAAAAGUGGAACAUAAAGCGUUGGGUGGAGUUUGGUAGGGCAUAUUUUAUUGCAGCCGAAGAAGUCAGACCCA
rnacentral:ncRNA from 1 species